rnacentral:misc_RNA from 1 species
ACUCUUCUAUGCUCAAAGCACUUCUCCACUAUUCAGCUACCCGUACUGUUAAGUUCUCCUCGUUGAUACGGAGAGACUGCCCUUGUCCAAGCUCCUUCUUGGCCUCAUUUUGUCGGCCUUUACCUUUCUUGAUCGUUUUCCCUCGCUCUGUCGUUGCUUGUUUUCACAGGCACACGGUCGUCGCUAUGGCUGAACGUCCUACAGAAACCACGUCCACUUCUCACAAGUACACCAAUCGUCUUGCUGCUGAGCACAGCCCUUAUCUCCUCCAACAUGCCCAUAACCCGGUUGAUUGGUAUCCGUGGGGGGAAGAAGCUUUCGCUGAAGCGCGCAAAAGAGACGUGCCCAUCUUUUUAUCGAUUGGAUACAGCACCUGCCAUUGGUGUCAUGUUAUGGAGGUGGAAUCUUUUGAGGAUGAAGGAGUCGCCAAAUUGUUGAAUGAUUGGUUUGUUAGUAUUAAGGUCGAUCGAGAGGAAAGACCCGACGUUGAUAAGGUUUAUAUGACAUUCGUGCAAGCAUUAUAUGGUGGUGGAGGAUGGCCACUUAGCGUCUUCC